UGGGGAAUAUUGCACAAUGGGCGCAAGCCUGAUGCAGCCAUGCCGCGUGUAUGAAGAAGGCCUUCGGGUUGUAAAGCACUUUCAGCGGGGAGGAAGGCGAUAAGGUUAAUAACCUCAUCGAUUGACGUUACCCGCAGAAGAAGCACCGGCUAACUCCGUGCCAGCAGCCGCGGUAAUACGGAGGGUGCAAGCGUUAAUCGGAAUUACUGGGCGUAAAGCGCACGCAGGCGGUCUGUCAAGUCGGAUGUGAAAUCCCCGGGCUCAACCUGGGAACUGCAUUCGAAACUGGCAGGCUAGAGUCUUGUAGAGGGGGGUAGAAUUCCAGGUGUAGCGGUGAAAUGCGUAGAGAUCUGGAGGAAUACCGGUGGCGAAGGCGGCCCCCUGGACGAAGACUGACGCUCAGGUGCGAAAGCGUGGGGAGCAAACAGG
rnacentral:rRNA from 1 species